CACGGAGGCGCUCACGGGCGUUGUUUGCCAUCCGCCGGUCCUUCUCUCGCUCAGCCUUCUGCUCUGGAUUCAAGUCAUCGUCCUCGUGAUUGCUGGAACAAAUCCAAACAGGAAAUGACAUUAAACAAUCUUGAAUCUUGAAUGACCAAAAUAUCUGAGGACGUGCUGGGGGCAGCCCACAGGUUCCGCCAUGCUUCCAGCAACAACAUCGCAUGCCCACAACUUAAUAACCCUAAUCCAUACAUCUUUGGAAUGUGAGAGGAAACCAGAGCACCCAGAGGAAACCCAUGCAGUCAUAGGAAGAACAUACAAACUCCUUACAGAAAGCAGUGGGAAUUUGACUCUGAUCCAUUCAUAGCUGACGUUGUAAAGAGUUGUGCUAACUGCUACAUUACCAUGCCACAACAUUCAGAAUUGAACUGUGACCUUCUGGCCUGCUAAAUAUUUUACUGAGAAAGGGCCAUCCAUAUCUGAUCUGAUACCAUAUGCUUACAACUUUCCAACAAGUCUCACUGUAUAGCAAAACGGAGCUGAGACCCCACCUGAU